AACGCUGACGGCGUGCUUAACACAUGCAAGUCGAACGAUGAACCACUUCGGUGGGGAUUAGUGGCGAACGGGUGAGUAACACGUGGGCAAUCUGCCCUGCACUCUGGGACAAGCCCUGGAAACGGGGUCUAAUACCGGAUACAACCACUGACCGCAUGGUCGGGUGGUGGAAAGCUCCGGCGGUGCAGGAUGAGCCCGCGGCCUAUCAGCUUGUUGGUGAGGUAGUGGCUCACCAAGGCGACGACGGGUAGCCGGCCUGAGAGGGCGACCGGCCACACUGGGACUGAGACACGGCCCAGACUCCUACGGGAGGCAGCAGUGGGGAAUAUUGCACAAUGGGCGAAAGCCUGAUGCAGCGACGCCGCGUGAGGGAUGACGGCCUUCGGGUUGUAAACCUCUUUCAGCAGGGAAGAAGCGAAAGUGACGGUACCUGCAGAAGAAGCGCCGGCUAACUACGUGCCAGCAGCCGCGGUAAUACGUAGGGCGCAAGCGUUGUCCGGAAUUAUUGGGCGUAAAGAGCUCGUAGGCGGCUUGUCGCGUCGGUUGUGAAAGCCCGGGGCUUAACCCCGGGUCUGCAGUCGAUACGGGCAGGCUAGAGUUCGGUAGGGGAGAUCGGAAUUCCCUGGUGUAGCGGUGAAAUGCGCAGAUAUCAGGAGGAACCCCCGGUGGCGAAGGCGGAUCUCUGGGCCGAUA
rnacentral:rRNA from 1 species